UACAGGGGGGGCAAGCGUUGUCCGGAUUUAUUGGGCGUAAAGCGCUCGCAGGUGGUUUGCUGCGUCGUGCGUGAAAGACCCCGGCUCAACUGGGGAGGGUCGUGCGAUACGGGCAGACUGGAGGCCAGUAGGGGGAUGCGGAAUUCCGGGUGUAGUGGUGGAAUGCGUAGAGAUCCGGAGGAACACCAGCGGCGAAGGCGGCAUCCUGGACUGGUCCUGACACUCAUGAGCGAAAGCGUGGGGAGCGAUCCGG
rnacentral:rRNA from 1 species